rnacentral:rRNA from 1 species
UUUUAGCAUUCUUACUAAAAAUUUAAGUUUUUAAAAUUUUAUUAAAGACAGUUUAAAUCUCAUUCAUUCCUUCAUACCAGUUCCCAAUUAAGAAACAAUUGAUUAUGCUACCUUCGCACAGUCAAUAUACUGCGGCUAUUUAAUUAAUUUAUAAUCAUGGAGCAGAAUUUAUUUUACACAAA